rnacentral:tRNA from 1 species
GGUCCCUUCGUCUAGUGGUUAGGACACCGGGUUUUCAUCUCGGCAACAGGAGUUCGACUCUCCUAGGGACUACCA